rnacentral:rRNA from 1 species
UACGUAGGGUGCAAGCGUUGUCCGGAAUUAUUGGGCGUAAAGAGCUCGUAGGCGGUUUGUCGCGUCUGCUGUGAAAACGCGAGGCUCAACCUCGCGCCUGCAGUGGGUACGGGCAGACUAGAGUGCGGUAGGGGGAGAUUGGAAUUCCUGGUGUAGCGGUGGAAUGCGCAGAUAUCAGGAGGAACACCGAUGGCGAAGGCAGAUCUCUGGGCCGUUACUGACGCUGAGAAGCGAAAGCAUGGGGAGCGAACAGG